rnacentral:rRNA from 1 species
CCUACGGGAGGCAGCAGUGAGGAAUAUUGGUCAAUGGACGAGAGUCUGAACCAGCCAAGUAGCGUGAAGGAUGACUGCCCUAUGGGUUGUAAACUUCUUUUAUAUGGGAAUAAAAUGUUCCACGUGUGGGAUUUUGUAUGUACCAUAUGAAUAAGGAUCGGCUAACUCCGUGCCAGCAGCCGCGGUAAUACGGAGGAUGCGAGCGUUAUCCGGAUUUAUUGGGUUUAAAGGGAGCGUAGGUGGAUUGUUAAGUCAGUUGUGAAAGUUUGCGGCUCAACCCUAAAAUUGCAGUUGAAACUGGCAGUCUUGAGUACAGUAGAGGUGUGCGGAAUGCGUGGUGUAGCGGUGAAAUGCUGAGAUAUCACGAAGAACUCCGAUUGCGAAGGCAGUUCACUGGACUGCAACUGACACUGAGGCUCGAAAGUGUGGGUAUCAAACAGGAUUAGAUACCCGUGUAGUC